rnacentral:rRNA from 2 species
GCAAGUCGAACGAACUCUGGUAUUGGUUGAUGCUUGCAUCAUGAUUUACAUUUGAGUGAGUGGCGAACUGGUGAGUAACACGUGGGAAACCUGCCCAGAAGCGGGGGAUAACACCUGGAAACAGAUGCUAAUACCGCAUAACAACUUGGACCGCAUGGUCCGAGCUUGAAAGAUGGCUUUGGCUAUCACUUUUGGAUGGUCCCGCGGCGUAUUAGCUAGAUGGUGGGGUAACGGCUCACCAUGGCAAUGAUACGUAGCCGACCUGAGAGGGUAAUCGGCCACAUUGGGACUGAGACACGGCCCAAACUCCUACGGGAGGCAGCAGUAGGGAAUCUUCCACAAUGGACGAAAGUCUGAUGGAGCAACGCCGCGUGAGUGAAGAAGGGUUUCGGCUCGUAAAACUCUGUUGUUAAAGAAGAACAUAUCUGAGAGUAACUGUUCAGGUAUUGACGGUAUUUAACCAGAAAGCCACGGCUAACUACGUGCCAGCAGCCGCGGUAAUACGUAGGUGGCAAGCGUUGUCCGGAUUUAUUGGGCGUAAAGCGAGCGCAGGCGGUUUUUUAAGUCUGAUGUGAAAGCCUUCGGCUCAACCGAAGAAGUGCAUCGGAAACUGGGAAACUUGAGUGCAGAAGAGGACAGUGGAACUCCAUGUGUAGCGGUGAAAUGCGUAGAUAUAUGGAAGAACACCAGUGGCGAAGGCGGCUGUCUGGUCUGUAACUGACGCUGAGGCUCGAAAGUAUGGGUAGCAAACAGGAUUAGAUACCCUG